GCCCCCGUAGCUCAAUGGAUAGAGCAAAUCCCUUCUAAGGAUAAGAUGCUAGUUCGAUUCUAGCCGGGGGCACAA
rnacentral:tRNA from 2 species